GGAUGUGUAGCUCAGCAGAGUAGAGCGCCCGCCUGUCGAGCGGGAGGCCGCGGGUUCGAUCCCCGUCACGGCCGCCA
rnacentral:tRNA from 1 species